GUUGGGGAAGGGCGGGAAAGCCUGAUCCAGCCAUGCCGCGUGUGUGAAGAAGGUCUUCGGAUUGUAAAGCCCUUUAAGUUGGGAGGAAGGGCAUUAACCUAAUACGUUAGUGUUUUGACGUUACCGACAGAAUAAGCACCGGCUAACUCUGUGCCAGCAGCCGCGGUAAUACGAAA
rnacentral:rRNA from 1 species